UACAGAGGGGGCGAGCGUUGUUCGGAAUUACUGGGCGUAAAGGGCGCGUAGGCGGCCCGCUAAGUCGAACGUGAAAUCCCCAGGCUCAACCUGGGAACUGCGUCCGAUACUGGCAGGCUUGAAUCCGGGAGAGGGAUGUGGAAUUCCAGGUGUAGCGGUGAAAUGCGUAGAUAUCUGGAGGAACACCGGUGGCGAAGGCGACAUCCUGGACCGGUAUUGACGCUGAGGCGCGAAAGCGUGGGGAGCAAACAGG
rnacentral:rRNA from 1 species